CGGGAAUUAAGCCAUGGGGUAGACGUCCAGUAUUGGAAGCUGGAAGCGGAAGGUUCGAGUCCUUCAUUCCCGA
rnacentral:tRNA from 1 species